AAUCUCAACUCUGCCCUUAUAAACUGAUAGCAAUGAUAAUCUCACCAAAAGUGUUUCUUUAUAUAUCGAAUGGGGUAAUAAUAUCUACUCUAUUAAAUAUGAUGAUACAGGUAAAGUUUAAUAUGGAACUUGCCAGAUAGUAACUCUCUACAUAAUGGUGGUGAAGGUGGUGGCGCUGGUGGUGAUUACCUUAAAGCUGAGGAUGGAGAAAAGUGGCAGGGAGGUACAAGAUUGCUGCUUGAUCAUAAAACUUUUCUCAUCUCUCAUUUAAACAAGUUUUCUCAGAUUGUUCUCCAGUAAAACAGUGGUGUCCUAUGAACUGGUUCAAGGUGUUUUACAGAGUCACUCUAUACGAAGAUGCCCUAAAGAGUGAGUAAGAAGAAAUGGGAAACAGAGGAAACAUGUCCUGCUUUAUCCCAUGCUGUAUGCUAGUCAUCCCCAAGAAGAGAGAACCAUGCUGUUCAAAGCUAAUGAUUGAACAAGGUAGCUGCUCAAACUUUGGGAAACAUGAAUGACUACAUCUUGACUCAUCUUCCUGUCAGAAAUCCUGAGGCUCAGAGUAACAUCGAUUGUUUGUUUUUGAUAAGUAGGGAGGACUUGCCUUGGGCCAACCACCUUCAGCCCCCACACUGAAGAUCUCUGAGUCACGCUGUGAAUCAUCACAAGACUCAAGACAGGAUGUGCAAGUUCUUACUCCUGGCACAGUCAUCUCAAAAGGCUCGGUAUACCUCAAUAUGUGAAUAUCGACCAUAUUCAGCCUGAAGACGGUCUGGACAGCAGAUUUUUCCUCCACUCCUCCCCCCAUUCCUCAGGGAAGCACCUCAGAAAUGACUAACAUCAUGACAGGAAAGGUAGAUAACUGUUCUCACCUGCCUUAGUUUGCAAAGAAGCACGUAGUAGUGGUUUCUUAUAAGUACUCAGGACUAACGGAGAAAAUCUAAUGACUGUACUUUGGUCAUAGAGUGAACUUUGUUGGAUGUGUAAUCAUGAGCACUGGAUUAGAGAUAAACCCACAUUUUAGUCGUUGAAAAGAACAACAUACUGGGAGCAUUGGUUAUAUAUUAGAAUAAGAGAAAGCAGAUAUAUUUGGAUAUGUUAAAAAAGACCAACAUGUCAUAUUAACACAAUUCAUAAAUAGAACUAAUGAAAUCCAAAGUCAAGAAUAACAUCAGAGGCAGCUCAAAGUUGUCAUGAGGCAAGAUGAGCUUACCAACAUUUAAACCAGGUUAUAUAAAAAAUAAAACCAUUGUUUUUUUUCCUCCCUUUUUUAUUGUUUCAAGUUUUUAUUUAAAUUACAGCAUACAACAUAAUAUGUUGGUUAACAUACAGCAUAAUAUUAGUUUCAGGAGUAGGAUGUAGUGAUUCAUCACUACAUACAAUAUCCAGUGCUCAUCACAAGUGCCCUCCUUAAUACCCAUCACCCAUUAGACCCAACUGCCCCCACCUUCCCUCCAGCAACCCUCAGUUUGUUCGCUAUAGUUAAGAGUCUCUUUUAUGGUUUGCUUCUCCCCACCAACCAUGUUCAUCUGUUUUGUUUCUUAAAUUCCACAUAUGAGCGAAAUCAUAUAGUUUUUGUCUUUCUCCUACUGACUUCACUUAGCAUAAUACCCUCUAGGUUCAUCCACAUUGUUGCAAAUGGCAAGAUUUCAUUCUUUUUCAUGGCUAAGUUAUAUUCCUGUGUGUGUGUGUGUGUGUGUGUGUGUGUGUAUACACAAAUACCCAUUGUUAAACAUUUUAACACCUAUUUGUAUGCUACAAACAUGAUGAUGAUUGCUUAUUCAAUAAAACAGUGCCUUUAACAGCUAUAUACAACAAAGCAGUGUUACCUGAGUUUGAGUUACUGUGAAGCAAGAAGUGAGCUCUUCAUUCAUUAGUUCAGAUUUUCUCCUAUAUCACACUCUUGUGCAUGGAGGUCACAGGAGCUCUCAAAGUAUCCUAAAUUAUUUUUUCUUCCUCUAUCCCCCAUCUUUGU